UACGUAGGGUGCAAGCGUUGUCCGGAAUUAUUGGGCGUAAAGAGCUCGUAGGCGGUCUGUCGCGUCUGCUGUGAAAACUCGGGGCUUAACCCCGGGCCUGCAGUGGGUACGGGCAGACUAGAGUGCGGUAGGGGAGACUGGAAUUCCUGGUGUAGCGGUGAAAUGCGCAGAUAUCAGGAGGAACACCGAUGGCGAAGGCAGGUCUCUGGGCCACUACUGACGCUGAGGAGCGAAAGCAUGGGUAGCGAACAGG
rnacentral:rRNA from 1 species